rnacentral:rRNA from 1 species
UACGGGGCGAGCAAGCGUUGUUCGGAUUUACUGGGCGUAAAGGGCGCGUAGGCGGCCAGCGCAAGUCGGUUGUGAAAUCUCCGGGCUUAACUCGGAAAGGUCAACUGAUACUGUGCGACUAGAGUGCAGAAGGGGCAACUGGAAUUCUCGGUGUAGCGGUGAAAUGCGUAGAUAUCGAGAGGAACACCUGCGGCGAAGGCGGGUUGCUGGGCUGACACUGACGCUGAUGCGCGAAAGCCAGGGGAGCGAACGGG